rnacentral:rRNA from 1 species
UGAGGAAUAUUGCACAAUGGGGGAAACCCUGAUGCAGCAACGCCGCGUGGAGGAUGAAUGUCCUUGGAUUGUAAACUCCUUUUCUGAGGGAAGAGUAAGGACGGUACCUCAGGAAUAAGUCACGGCUAACUACGUGCCAGCAGCCGCGGUAACACGUAGGUGACAAGCGUUAUCCGGAAUUACUGGGCGUAAAGCGCACGCAGGCGGUCAAUAAAGUCCGGCGUGAAAUUUCCCGGCUUAACCGGGAGGGGUCGUUGGAUACUAAUUGACUUGAGGCGAUGAGAGGGAUAUAGAAUUCCUGGUGUAGUGGUGGAAUGCGUAGAUAUCAGGAGGAAUACCAGUGGCGAAAGCGGUAUCCUGGCAUUUGCCUGACGCUCAUGUGCGAAAGCGUGGGGAGCGAACGGGAUUAGAUACCCCCGUAGUCC